GAUGAACGCUGGCGGCGUGCCUAAUACAUGCAAGUCGAGCGAACGGACGAGAAGUUUGCUUCUCUGAUGUUAGCGGCGGACGGGUGAGUUACAUGUGGAUAACCUACCUAUAAGACUGUGAUAACUUCGGGAACCCGUUGCUAAUACCGGCUAAUAUUUUGAACCGCCUGGUUAAAAAGUGAAAGCCGGCCUUGCGGUCACUUAAUGGUUGAUCCGCGCUGCAUUAGCUAGUUGGUAAGGUAACGGCUUACCAAGGCGACGAUCAAUAGCCGGCCUGAGAGGGUGAUCGGCCACACUGGAACUGAGACACGGUCCAGACUCCUACGGGAGGCAGCAGUAGGGAAUCUUCCGCAAUGGGCGAAAGCCUGACGGAGCAACGCCGCGUGAGUGAUGAAGGUCUUCGGAUCGUAAAGCUCUGUUAUUAGGGAAGAACAUAUGUGUAAGUAACUGUGCACAGCUUGACGGUACCUAAUCAGAAAGCAACGGCUAACUACGUG
rnacentral:rRNA from 1 species